rnacentral:rRNA from 1 species
AUUGAACGCUGGCGGCAUGCCUUACACAUGCAAGUCGAACGGCAGCACGGGAGCAAUCCUGGUGGCGAGUGGCGAACGGGUGAGUAAUACAUCGGAACGUGCCCAGUAGUGGGGGAUAACCCGGCGAAAGCCGGACUAAUACCGCAUACGACCUACGGGUGAAAGCAGGGGAUCGCAAGACCUUGCGCUAUCGGAGCGGCCGAUGUCAGAUUAGCUAGUUGGUGGGGAAAAGCCCACCAAGGCGACGAUCUGUAGCUGGUCUGAGAGGACGACCAGCCACACUGGGACUGAGACACGGCCCAGACUCCUACGGGAGGCAGCAGUGGGGAAUUUUGGACAAUGGGCGCAAGCCUGACGCAGCGACGCCGCGUGAGGGAUGACGGCCU